AUCUCUCCUGAGGACGUAUGAGCGCACAGCUGCCUGGGCACACUGGAGCCUGAGCCGGUGGAGGACUGUGUGCAGAACACACUCUCGGCCCUGUACCCACCCUUUGCAGCCACGGCGCCCACGCUGCUGGGGCAGGUGUUUGAGGUGGUGGAGCGGACCUACCGGGAGGAUGCCCUGCGCUACACCCUCGAAUUCCUCAUACCUGCCAAGCACAUCUUGGCACGCAUCCAGCAGGAGGCCUGUGCCCAGUACCAGGGCCUCGUGUUCUGUCACGAGGGCUGUCUGUCCGUCUGUGGGCCAGGCCUGGGGAGGGGCUUCUCUGUCUGUCUGUGGCCCUGACUCAGUUUCUCUCCCCCACAGGCCCAGUACCAGGGCCUCGUGUUCUGUCACGAGGGCUGUCUGUCUGUCUGUGGGCCAGGCCUGGGGAGGGGCUUCUCUGUCUGUCUGUGGCCCUGACUCAGUUUCUCUCCCCCCACAGGCCCAGUAC